UUGUGUUUUCGGGAACACCGGCUGAAACUUUUUUAUCAAGUAAAUCGAUAUCUCAAUUUUAUGCGUUUAGCUAAAAUUACAAAUAUCCAAUUUUUUUUAUUUGGAAAUCUUAUGUUGGCUGCAUUGAAAUAUUCCCGCUAGUAUCAGUAGCCUUUGCAUCAUUGAUCAAUUCAUUGUUUCUCUUUUGUUUUCUGGCAAUUAGACAGAGAUAUAGCUCGUUUUUUUACUAGUCUAAGCAAUCAGCUGUUUAUUGGCAUUUGAUAUUUGAGCCGGUGACAUAACUUUCAAAACAAGAGUUUUCCUGGAUUUCUAAAAUAUCCAGUAUUUUGGAUAAAUCGUAGUAUGUCGCAGACCAUCUGCACAAGGGGAAUCUCCCAAAGUGCUCGACUGGGUCACCGAUUGAUUAAGUUCCGAUAUGGGCCUAAUAGGAACCAGCAAACCCCAGCAGGUUCCCAAACUAUUAGACAAGGAGCUUCCAAAUCAACGUCUUCAAGUAGCCAGGAGCCAAUUUGGGAUUUUCAAAUCCCAGUCCGCUGGAGGCGAGCCCCACUUAGUGAAGAAGAAUGCGCUGUUAUUAACAAUGGAGGACCAGUGUAGAUGAACAUGUUUUAAUUCUAGUAUUUAUUACGAAUUUUACUUGUAGCUUAACCAUUGUUCAUAUGCUUAUUAUUAAAUAUACUAUGUAUGUAAA